ACUUAAGUAUUUUAAAUAAAAUAUUGAUUUGUGGUGUCAAUGAUACAUGAUUUGUCUUAGGUC
rnacentral:tRNA from 1 species